CUGAUACUGAGACUAAGUCACAUAAAUUCAGUUUCUUCCCAGAAGGAUCCAAAAGUGAAGACAAAGUUCAGAAAAUAAAGUGAUGGACUGAAGACCUUCCUUUAUCAGUAGAUUAUGUCAGAUUGACUGCCAGGAGACGAAGCAUUGCAGUGAAUUCAAUUGGAUCUUCAUCACUGUGAGACAGAGCAUAUUGACUGAUUUUGAACAGCUUGUCUACAACUGACUGAUUUGUAUGGACUCCUCCUUCCUGUCUUACAUUGGCUGCACCCCG
rnacentral:lncRNA from 1 species